AGCGAACGCUGGCGGCAGGCCUAACACAUGCAAGUCGAACGGACCCUUCGGGGAUAGUGGCGGACGGGUGAGUAACACGAGGGAACGUGCCUUUAGGUUCGGAAUAGCCCCAGGAAACGGGUGGUAAUGCCGAAUGUGCCCUUCGGGGGAAAGAUUUAUCGCCUUUAGAGCGGCCCGCGUCUGAUGAGCUAGUUGGUGGGGUAAUGGCUCACCAAGGCGACGAUCAGUAGCUGGUCUGAGAGGAUGACCAGCCACAUUGGGACUGAGACACGGCCCAAACUCCUACGUGAGGCAGCAGUGAGGAAUCUUGCGCAAUGGGCUAAAGCCUGACGCAGCCAUGCCGCGUGAAUGAUGAAGGUCUUAGGAUUGUAAAAUUCUUUCACCGGGGACGAUAAUGACGAUACCCGGAGAAGAAGCCCCGGCUAACUUCGUGCCAGCCGCCGCAGUAACAC
rnacentral:rRNA from 1 species